AGAGUUUGAUCAUGGCUCAGAUUGAACGCUGGCGGCAUGCUUUACACAUGCAAGUCGAACGGUAACGCGGGGGCAACCCUGGCGACGAGUGGCGAACGGGUGAGUAAUACAUCGGAACAUGUCCUGGAGUGGGGGAUAGCUCGGCGAAAGCCGGAUUAAUACCGCAUACGCUCUGAGGAGGAAAGCGGGGGACCGAAAGCCUCGCGCUGCGGGAGUGGCCGAUGUCGGAUUAGCUAGUUGGUGAGGUAAAGGCUCACCAAGGCGACGAUCCGCAGCUGGUCUGAGAGGAUGAUCAGCCACACUGGGACUGAGACACGGCCCAGACUCCUACGGGAGGCAGCAGUGGGGAAUUUUGGACAAUGGGGGCAACCCUGAUCCAGCCAUGCCGCGUGAGUGAAGAAGGCCUUCGGGUUGUAAAGCUCUUUCGGACGGAACGAAACGGUUGCGGUGAAUAUCCGCGACUAAUGACGGUACCGUAAGAAGAAGCACCGGCUAACUACGUGCCAGCAGCCGCGGUAAUACGUAGGGUGCGAGCGUUAAUCGGAAUUACUGGGCGUAAACGUGCGCAGGCGGUUCGCCAAGUCAGGUGUGAAAUCCCCGGGCUUAACCUGGGAAUUGCGCUUGAAACUAGCGGGCUUGAGUGCGGCAGAGGGGGGUGGAAUUCCACGUAGCAGUGAAAUGCGUAGAGAUGUGGAGGAACACCGAUGGCGAAGGCAGCCCCCUGGGUCGACACUGACGCUCAUGCACGAAAGCGUGGGGAGCAAACAGGAUUAGAUACCCUAGUAGUCC
rnacentral:rRNA from 1 species